rnacentral:rRNA from 1 species
AACCAGCACCUCAAGUGGUCAGGAUGAUUAUUGGGCCUAAAGCAUCCGUAGCCGGCUCUGUAAGUUUUCGGUUAAAUCUGUACGCUUAACGUACAGGCUGCCGGGAAUACUGCAGAGCUAGGUAGUGGGAGAGGUAGACGGUACUCGGUAGGAAGGGGUAAAAUCCUUUGAUCUAUUGAUGACCACCUGUGGCGAAGGCGGUCUACCAGAACACGUACGACGGUGAGGGAUGAAAGCUGGGGGAGCAAACCGGAUUAGAUACCCGGGUAGUCCCAGCUGUAAACUAUGCAAACUCGGUGAUGCAUUGGCUUGUGGCCAAUGCAGUGCUGCAGGGAAGCCGUUAAGUUUGCCGCCUGGGAAGUACGUACGCAAGUAUGAAACUUAAAGGAAUUGGCGGGGGAGCACCACAAGGGGUGAAGCCUGCGGUUCAAUUGGAGUCAACGCCAGAAAUCUUACCCGGAGAGACAGCAGAAUGAAGGUCAAGCUGAAGACUUUACCAGACAAGCUGAGAGGUGGUGCAUGGCCGUCGCCAGCUCGUGCCGUGAGAUGUCCUGUUAAGUCAGGUAACGAGCGAGAUCCCUGCCUCUAGUUGCCACCAUUACUCUCAGGAGUAAUGGGGCGAAUUAGCGGGACCGCCGCAGUUAAUGCGGAGGAAGGAAGGGGCCACGGCAGGUCAGUAUGCCCCGAAACUCUGGGGCCACACGCGGGCUGCAAUGGUAACGACAAUGGGUUUCGAAUUCAAAAGGAUGAGGUAAUCCUCAAACGUUACCACAGUUAUGACUGAGGGCUGCAACUCGCCCUCACGAAUAUGGAAUCCCUAGUAACUGCGUGUCACUAUCGCGCGGUGAAUACGUCCCUGCUCCU